rnacentral:rRNA from 1 species
AAACUUAAAGGAAUUGACGGGGGCCCGCACAAGCAGUGGAGUAUGUGGUUUAAUUCGAAGCAACGCGAAGAACCUUACCAGGGCUUGACAUCCCACGAAUAACGUAGAGAUACGUUAGUCCUUCGGGACGUGGAGACAGGUGGUGCAUGGUUGUCGUCAGCUCGUGUCGUGAGAUGUUGGGUUAAGUCCCGCAACGAGCGCAACCCUUGUUGUUAGUUGCCAGCGAGUGAAGUCGGGCACUCUAGCGAGACUGCCGGCGAUAAGUCGGAGGAAGGUGGGGAUGACGUCAAAUCAUCAUGCCCUUUAUGUCCUGGGCUACACACGUACUACAAUGGCCGUAACAGAGGGAAGCGAUGGAGCAAUCCGGAGCAAACCCCUAAAAAGCGGUCCCAGUUCAGAUUGUGGGCUGCAACCCGCCCGCAUGAAGGAGGAAUUGCUAGUAAUGGCGGAUCAGCAUGCCGCCGUCGAAUACGUUCCCGGGCCUU